UCAUCUUCGGGGGUAGAGCACUGUUUCGGCUAGGGGGUCAUCCCGACUUACCAACCCGAUGCAAACUACGAAUACCGAAGAAUGUUAUCACGGGAGACACACGGCGGGUGCUAACGUCCGUCGUGAAGAGGGAAACAACCCAGACCGCCAGCUAAGGUCCCAAAGUCAUGGUUAAGUGGGAAACGAUGUGGGAAGGCCCAGACAGCCAGGAUGUUGGCUUAGAAGCAGCCAUCAUUUAAAGAAAGCGUAAUAGCUCACUGGUCGAGUCGGCCUGCGCGGAAGAUGUAACGGGGCUAAACCAUGCACCGAAGCUGCGGCAGCGACGCUUAUGCGUUGUUGGGUAGGGGAGCGUUCUGUAAGCCGUUGAAGGUGGCCUGUGAGGGUUGCUGGAGGUAUCAGAAGUGCGAAUGCUGACAUAAGUAACGAUAAUGCGGGUGAAAAACCCGCACGCCGGAAGACCAAGGGUUCCUGUCCAACGUUAAUCGGGGCAGGGUGAGUCGACCCCUAAGGCGAGGCCGAAAGGCGUAGUCGAUGGGAAACAGGUUAAUAUUCCUGUACUUGGUGUUACUGCGAAGGGGGGACGGAGAAGGCUAUGUUGGCCGGGCGACGGUUGUCCCGGUUUAAGCAUGUAGGCGGAUGUUCCAGGUAAAUCCGGAACGUCACUAACGCUGAGGUGUGAUGACGAGGCACUACGGUGCUGAAGUGACAAAUGCCCUGCUUCCAGGAAAAGCCUCUAAGCAUCAGGUAACAUCAAAUCGUACCCCAAACCGACACAGGUGGUCAGGUAGAGAAUACCAAGGCGCUUGAGAGAACUCGGGUGAAGGAACUAGGCAAAAUGGUGCCGUAACUUCGGGAGAAGGCACGCUGAUGGUAAGUGAAGCGACUUGCUCACGGAGCUGAAAUCAGUCGAAGAUACCAGCUGGCUGCAACUGUUUAUUAAAAACACAGCACUGUGCAAACACGAAAGUGGACGUAUACGGUGUGACGCCUGCCCGGUGCCGGAAGGUUAAUUGAUGGGGUUAUCCGCAAGGAGAAGCUCUUGAUCGAAGCCCCGGUAAACGGCGGCCGUAACUAUAACGGUCCUAAGGUAGCGAAAUUCCUUGUCGGGUAAGUUCCGACCUGCACGAAUGGCGUAAUGAUGGCCAGGCUGUCUCCACCCGAGACUCAGUGAAAUUGAACUCGCUGUGAAGAUGCAGUGUACCCGCGGCAAGACGGAAAGACCCCGUGAACCUUUACUAUAGCUUGACACUGAACACUGGUCCUUGAUGUGUAGGAUAGGUGGGAGGCUUUGAAGUGUGGACGCCAGUCUGCAUGGAGCCAUCCUUGAAAUACCACCCUUUAAUGGCUGGGGUUCUAACGUGGGCCCGUAAUCCGGGUUGCGGACAGUGUCUGGUGGGUAGUUUGACUGGGGCGGUCUCCUCCUAAAGAGUAACGGAGGAGCACGAAGGUCAGCUAAUCCUGGUCGGACAUCAGGAGGUUAGUGCAAUGGCAUAAGCUGGCUUGACUGCGAGCGUGACGGCGCGAGCAGGUGCGAAAGCAGGUCAUAGUGAUCCGGUGGUUCUGAAUGGAAGGGCCAUCGCUCAACGGAUAAAAGGUACUCCGGGGAUAACAGGCUGAUACCGCCCAAGAGUUCAUAUCGACGGCGGUGUUUGGCACCUCGAUGUCGGCUCAUCACAUCCUGGGGCUGAAGUAGGUCCCAAGGGUAUGGCUGUUCGCCAUUUAAAGUGGUACGCGAGCUGGGUUUAGAACGUCGUGAGACAGUUCGGUCCCUAUCUGCCGUGGGCGCUGGAGAAUUGAGGGGGGCUGCUCCUAGUACGAGAGGACCGGAGUGGACGCAUCACUGGUGUUCGGGUUGUCAUGCCAAUGGCACUGCCCGGUAGCUAAAUGCGGAAGAGAUAAGUGCUGAAAGCAUCUAAGCACGAAACUUGCCCCGAGAUGAGUUCUCCCUGACCCCUUAAGAGUCCUGAAGGAACGUUGAAGACGACGACGUUGAUAGGCCGGGUGUGUAAGCGCAGCGAUGCGUUGAGCUAACCGGUACUAAUGAACCGUGAGGCUUAACCUU
rnacentral:rRNA from 1 species